CAAUAGCGUAUAUUAAAGUUGUUGCGGUUAAAAAGCUCGUAGUUGGAUUUCUGCCGAGGACGACCGGUCCGCCCUCUGGGUGAGCAUCUGGAUCGGCCUGGGCAUCUUCUUGGAGAACGUAUCUGCACUUGACUGUGUGGUGCGGUAUCCAGGACUUUUACUUUGAGGAAAUUAGAGUGUUUCAAGCAGGCAUACGCCUUGAAUACAUUAGCAUGGAAUAAUAAGAUAGGACCUCGGUUCUAUUUUGUUGGUUUCUAGAGCUGAGGUAAUGAUUAAUAGGGAUAGUUGGGGGCAUUCGUAUUUAACUGUCAGAGGUGAAAUUCUUGGAUUUGUUAAAGACGGACUACUGCGAANGNAUUUGCNAAGGAUGUUUNCAUUG
rnacentral:rRNA from 1 species